rnacentral:misc_RNA from 1 species
AGUUGAGAACCAUGAUGUUGAG